rnacentral:lncRNA from 1 species
CAGCCCUUCACGGUCCAUUGUUUCUGUUUUUUCCUGAAAGGUCUCUGCUCCCUCAAUCUUGGUGUCUGUCCUCAUUGUCUUGUAGGCAUUUCCAUUUGGGCCACAGUAGCCAAGUCUUGUAUAACUGGAUUGGCUCUUGAGAGAAGAGAGUGGCUUAUUAUAAACCAAGGCCUGCUCCUUCGCAUCUGCUUUCUUGCCUGUGUCCUUGCACGCCCACAUCUCUGCUAUGUACCAAUGCAGGCAGGAGGCCUUGGCUACAUUCAAGUGACAUGCUGUUUGGACAAAAACAAACCCAGUGACAACUGUGAUGUGGUUUUCUGUAGAUCUAGUAAGACAGUGCACAAGCAAGCUCUUCCCUGUCUAAGAACAAGUAUUUAUCCUGAGUUUGCUGGCCACGUGGGUGUGGGUGAGUUUCUCCCUUUCCCCCCUCAUCCUCUUUUCCAAAGGGAAGCUAUGGCACCAAUGAGAGCAGUUACGUUUCUAGCCAGCGUGCUCCUCUUUGUGAAAUGAUUUAGAGCCAAGUGUAACUAGUACAUAAAUUUAUUAUGACUUGGGUUCAAACCGGGAAUGUGUUCCUGAGAAAUGCUGCAGCCUCAGAGAAAAAAAACAGAGCCUCCUUCUUCCUAACUCCUGACAGCUCAGGUGCCCUUAAAACAAUUGAGACAGGGUUGCUUCCAUACACCCGUGCAAUGUUUUUUAUAAAUCAGACAAAUCUUGAGUCUCUGGUAACAUCAGACCCGAGAAUAACAUUCUGAAUCCCUGGUGCAUGAAUCCUCUCUAGUAUCUCCUGGUGUGCUCAUGUGGCUGUCCCAGACCCUACAAACAAACAGGAAGUUGACCCUGGGACCAAGUUAAUCAAAAAGUUUUUAAUAGAGUGUUUGAAGGAGCACAGGCAUGUGCCUGAAGUCAUAAAUAGAGGCCCAAAUCAUUU